rnacentral:rRNA from 1 species
GAUGAACGCUGGCGGCGUGCCUAAUACAUGCAAGUCGAGCGAACGGACGAGAAGCUUGCUUCUCUGAUGUUAGCGGCGGACGGGUGAGUAACACGUGGAUAACCUACCUAUAAGCCUGGGAUAACUUCGGGAAACCGGAGCUAAUCCCGGAUAAUAUUUUGAACCGAAUGGUUAAAAAGUGAAAGACGGUCUUGCUGUCACUUAUAGAUGGAUCCGCGCUGCAUUAGCUAGUUGGUAAGGUAACGGCUUACCAAGGCAACGAUGCAUAGCCGACCUGAGAGGGUGAUCGGCCACACUGGAACUGAGACACGGUCCAGACUCCUACGGGAGGCAGCAGUAGGGAAUCUUCCGCAAUGGGCGAAAGCCUGACGGAGCAACGCCGCGUGAGUGAUGAAGGUCUUCGGAUCGUAAAACUCUGUUAUUAGGGAAGAACAUAUGUGUAAGUAACUGUGCACAUCUUGACGGUACCUAAUCAGAAAGCCACGGCUAACUACGUG